CCCUUCAAUACAGAGGAAUUCUAGGAAACCUUCUUUCACCUGAUUCAUGGGAAUGCAAACAUCAAUGCAAUUAGAGCCGCUUCAGAAAAAGGUAAAACCUGUGUUGGAUGAAGAGAAAUCCAAGGCUAUCGGCGUAGUCUUUAAUAAUGGGCGCGUGAAGAAGCAACCUGCAAAAUUAGCGAAAUAAAUGCAGCAAACAGGAUUUUCCAGCCUCCAUACACUAUCAGCAAUGGGUACGAAUCACACCCACCUCUCUGUCUCCAAUUAAGCCAGCCCUAGCCUAAAAAGAAUGAGACGCUAUCAAAAUCAAUGCAACUGGGCUGCAUUAACAAAAAGUUGACAACUGGGGAAGCACAUCACUCCUUACUUUAUCAAUAACUUGCCCCACAGUUCAAAAGUCAAGCUUGAUCAGUUGUGAAAAUGCAAGAGUACUUUUUUGGUAAAGCACAAUUUGGAAUGGAAGAUGGUAUG